rnacentral:rRNA from 1 species
UACGUAGGAGGCGAGCGUUGUCCGGAAUCACUGGGCGUAAAGCGCGUGUAGGCGGUACGGCAAGUCUGCUGUGAAAUCUCGUGGCUCAACUGCGAGGGGUCAGUGGAAACUGCCGCACUAGAGGACGGCAGAGGGGGGUAGAAUUCCACGUGUAGCAGUGAAAUGCGUAGAUAUGUGGAGGAACACCGAUGGCGAAGGCAGCCCCCCUGGGCUAAGAUUGACGCUCAUGCACGAAAGCGUGGGGAGCAAACAGG